rnacentral:rRNA from 1 species
GACGAACCGUCCGAACGUUAUUCGGAAUCACUGGGCUUACAGAGUUCGUAGGCGGUCCGGUAAGUUAGAUGUGAAAUCCCUUGGCUUAACCAAGGAACUGCGUUUGAAACUACCGGACUCGAGGGAGAUAGAGGAAAGCGGAACUGAUGGUGGAGCGGUGAAAUGCGUUGAUAUCAUCAGGAACACCGGUGGCGAAGGCGGCUCUCUAGUACGGUACUGACGCUGAGACGCGAAAGCGUGGGGAGCGAACAGG